rnacentral:lncRNA from 10 species
CUUGGCUCCCUAGACACCGAACUCAAGGAAAUCCAAGUCAAUUGAGGCUGAAGGGAGAAGUAAAACUGAUUAAAUUUCUUUCUUAGGCCGGGCGCAGUGGCUCACACCUGUAAUCCCAGCACGAGGUGGAUGGAUCACAAGGUCAAGAGAUCAAGGCCAUCCUGGCCAACAUGGUGAAACCUCGUCUCUACUAAAAAUACAAAAAUUAGCUGGGCGUGGUGGCACAUGCCUGUAGUCCCAGCUACUUGGGAGGCUGAGGCAGGAGAAUCGCUUCAACCCAGGAGAUGGAGGUUGUAGUGAGCCGAGAUCGCUCCACUGCACUCCAGCCUGGCGACAGAGUGAGACUCCAUCUCAAAAAAAAAAUCUUUCUUUUUCUAGGGACGGGUCUCGCUCUCUCACCCAGGCUGGAGUGCAGUGGUGUGAUCAUAACUCACUACAGCCUCGACCUCCUGGGCUUAAGUGAUCCUCCCACCUCAGCCUCCUGAAUAGCUGGGAUUACAAGUGCUCCGCACCGUGCCCAGCCAACGCUGAUUACAUUUCAGAAAGCUGUCCCGGGUCUCCCAGCCCGCUGGAUGGGUUAGUCACUCAGUUUCUUCUGGAAUGAGGAAUGGCCUAGUUAACAGAGCCCUUUCUGGGUGAUUAACAGAAUUCAGUUUAUGGCUCCUUCAUCUCUCCUCCCAUCCAGCCGUGUGGUUUUUCUGUUUUUGUUUCUGAGACAGGGUGUCAUCUGUCACCCAGGGUGGAGUGCAGUGGUAUGAUCUCGGCCUACUGGAGCCUGGAUCUCCCGGGCUCAAGUGAUCCUCGUGCCUCAGCCUCCCGAGUAGCUGGG